rnacentral:piRNA from 1 species
UGGGGCCUGAGUUAGAGCGCGAUGACUCC